UACGUAGGGGGCGAGCGUUAUCCGGAAUUAUUGGGCGUAAAGAGUGCGUAGGUGGUUCUUUAAGCGUGAGGUGAAAGGCAAUAGCUCAACUAUUGUAAGCCUUGCGAACUGGGGGACUUGAGUGCAGGAGAGGAAAGCGGAAUUCCUAGUGUAGCGGUGAAAUGCGUAGAUAUUAGGAGGAACACCAGUGGCGAAGGCGGCUUUCUGGACUGUAACUGACACUGAGGCACGAAAGCGUGGGGAGCAAACAGGAUUAGAUACCCUGGUAGUCCACGCUGUAAACGAUGAGCACUAGGUGUCGGGGCCGCAAGGCUUCGGUGCCGCAGUUAACGCAUUAAGUGCUCCGCCUGGGGAGUACGCACGCAAGUGUGAA
rnacentral:rRNA from 1 species